rnacentral:lncRNA from 1 species
CAUACAGAGGAUAACACAAAUAACUGCUCAAAAACCAGGAGGAAACUCUGACUGGGAGCGAGUUGAAUGGUGAGUGAUGGAGACACCAAAGCGAUCUACUGGGGAAUCAAGAUACUCCACUGAGGACCAAAAUUGCUGAUGAAUACCCAAACCCUGUCUGGGAUCAAACUCAACUCUGCAGGAUACUGAAUCAACCAACUUAGCUGGGAAACCUAAAGGGUUAACUGCUUGGGG